ACGGAAGGCAGCAGUGGGGAAUAUUGCACAAUGGGGGAAACCCUGAUGCAGCGACGCCGCGUGAGUGAAGAAGUAUUUCGGUAUGUAAAGCUCUAUCAGCAGGAAAGAAAAUGACGGUACCUGACUAAGAAGCCCCGGCUAACUACGUGCCAGCAGCCGCGGUAAUACGUAGGGGGCAAGCGUUAUCCGGAUUUACUGGGUGUAAAGGGAGCGUAGACGGCUUUGCAAGUCUGAAGUGAAAGCCCGGGGCUCCACCCCGGAACUGCUUUGGAAACUGUAGAGCUAGAGUGCAGGAGAGGUAAGUGGAAUUCCUAGUGUAGCGGUGAAAUGCGUAGAUAUUAGGAGGAACACCAGUGGCGAAGGCGGCUUACUGGACUGUAACUGACGUUGAGGCUCGAAGGCGUGGGGAGCAAACAGGAUUAGAUACCCUGGUA
rnacentral:rRNA from 1 species